AAGGAAUUAGUUAAAUAUAUAACAUUAGAAUGUCAAACUAAAAUUAUUAUAAUGAAUAAUAUUCCUUA
rnacentral:tRNA from 1 species